rnacentral:tRNA from 1 species
UCCAUUACAUGUAAAUAAUUUGAGCAACAAGUUGCAUCAUCUACCCUAUCAAGGUAGCCCUUUAAUCAGGCAUCAAAC